UACGGAGGGGGCUAGCGUUGUUCGGAAUUACUGGGCGUAAAGCGCGCGUAGGCGGACCUGCAAGUCGGGGGUGAAAGCCCGAGGCUCAACCUCGGAACUGCCUUCGAUACUGCGGGUCUCGAGUCCGGGAGAGGUGAGUGGAAUUGCGAGUGUAGAGGUGAAAUUCGUAGAUAUUCGCAAGAACACCAGUGGCGAAGGCGGCUCACUGGCCCGAUACUGACGCUGAGGUGCGAAAGCGUGGGGAGCAAACAGG
rnacentral:rRNA from 1 species